rnacentral:lncRNA from 1 species
GAAUGCCUGUCAUAAGCAUAAGAAAGCUCGAUCGGAGGGCUUUAGGAACCUAUUUCCUCUGUGCAGAUGAGCCCCCCGCCUUUCUAUUCUCUUUCAGAUUGAAACUUCUUGGUGUCCAAGGCUUCUAAACCUUCGCACGUAUUCGGAUCUGACCCAACAUUGAUAGUGACCUCCAACUAUAGGUCUUACCAAAAGUAUCCCUAAAGAAUAAUUAUUUAACAGCAAACAACCAGUUCAGAUACAGUCGUGGUCUUCCAAACUUUACCGAGAGUAUGGCUGAAUCCCUCACUUCAUCCAUAUGUGUAAAAGAGACUAGCCGCACUUAAAAGCCGAGUACUCUACCGUUGAGUUAGCAACCCGACUGAUUUAUGAAAGCCCGGUGAGGCUUCAACCGACAGCGUUGCUUCGUUGUCUGAUAUAUUGCAAAUAAUUAAAAAUUCUUUACACACAUUUUACUUAUUUUAUGAGAGUGUUAAUACUUGAUCGUUACUUUCACAUUAUAUUAAAGGUGUUUAACGGGUGAGCCGGGCCGAGUCUAUAUUUUUUGGAUCCGUACGGGUUACGAUUCGGGACGAUUACGCUUUGAGUCUUAACGGGUUUAACAAGUUCGGAUUCAUACGGGUAAAAAUUGAACCGUAUGGGUUACGAGUUGAAGGGGUCGGGCCGGGCCGGGCCGGAUUUAGUAUAAUUUUAAUCUUUUUUUGGAUUUUAUAUAAAUAUUGUAAGUUAUAGUAUUAAUACAAAGUACUAACACAAAGAAUACAAGGAAGAUGGGAAAAAAUUGCACUUAUAUAUUGCAAGUGCUACAUUUAUUUCCAAAUUACAAAAUUAAAGUUUGCAUUUAUAAGUAAAUUAACAAAUAAAUAAUAAACUAAUUUUUUAUUCAUAAUAAAUUAAUAAUGCUUCAAAUUAAUCUAACAAACUAAAAUAUUAAACAUAAAUACAUCUAAUAAUUUAAAAUAACAUAAAUUGUCUUAAAUCUUAAAAUAGUCAAGCUCCGUUAUUAAUAAUGAGAAAAUAAAACAGGAUGCUGCUAACUAUGACGUUAAUGGUGAAAAGUCGGUAAUAAUAUUGUGAUUGUGGAGAAGAUGACUAAGUGGGGGAAAGGUUACCAAAGCGGAAAGGGGGGUCAUUUUAUUUUAUUUUAUUUUAUUUUUUUAAAAGGAAAAAUGUUAACUAGAGUGUAAAUUAGGCAUAUUAUUUUCUUUUAGCUCUGACACGUGUCAUGGUUGUAUUGGUGCGUGAUUUUACACAUAGUUUGAAAAGCUUAUCAAUAAUAAAGUAGUGUGUCUUAACUACACUUUUGAAAGGUACCGUAUAAAAUAAUUUUCAUCGUCAAAAAAUAUGUGAUAGAAAUUUGGUCCAUAGUUAAGUGUCAACUUAUGUAUUUUGUCUAUAUUAAUAAAACAAAUAGGACUGCUAAAUCUAAAAAGUGAUCUACACUUAUCUAAAGUUGUACCAUAUAGAGCAGUUAUUAAAAAGUUAGAUUUAAAAUAAAAAAAAAAAAUUAUGGAGUAAACGAUAUUGCAUUAGAACUUGUGUUUUUCCGCAAUUAUGAUUUUUGUGUGAAUUGGUGAAAGUAAUUUUUAUGUUAAAAAAUAUAAUUAUAUCAAUUAUAUAAAUCCUAGAACGCGCCUCACGAGCACCCAAAAUAGGCUAUACCCAAUGACUUGGCUGAAGUAGAGGACGAACUAUCAGAGGCUAUUUUUCAUUUUUAGCUAGUAUUGUUUAUCUUUUACAAAACUAUUUUGUUACAUAAUUCAAUUAAGAAAUAGUUUGCAAUAUAUUUAAUAUAAUGAAUUUACAUAUAGUUUAAAUGGAAAAGGCCUAAAAAGUAUCACUCAACUAAUAUAAAUAGCCUAUGUAUGUGUCAGAAUAUGGCCCCGAGAUAAUUAAUGAUAUUGAUUAUAUCUUAAGCUAAUCCUCAUUCAAUAAGUGGUAUGACCACUUAUUAAUCACGAUACUCGACUAUCAGCCGACUCGAUCGAAAAGGCUACGGUCUAUCCGACAUCGUAAGGAUGGAGCCUCAACGUAGUCACGACCCUCCAUUGCCAGCUCAUACAGCUUAUAACUAUAAAUAUUAAGAGAAGGAACCCUAGAAGGUGCUGUUUUUUCUUCAUCACUAUUUUCAAGAAAAGAGAGAACAUGACUGUAAGGCUAAUGCUAUCAAUAAAAGCUCCCUACACAUUUCUCUCUAAUGAAUAAUACUUGCUUCUUAUUUCUUUCAUUUGGUUCCUUGAUUUAUUACGAUCUGCUAUGAUUGGCCCUCCAUUUAUUUUGAUUGUUUUAUCCUCUCAAAGUAUAUGAUAACUUUUGAGCUAAACAUCCUAUCUUUGCCAUCUGUUAAAAGGUCGCCCUCUUCAUGCCACUAACAUUAUUCUUUUGGCCUAUUUGUGUCAUUGCUACUAGCAGUUCCAUUUUCUGGUUAUAAAAUAAUAAGAAUUAAAUUUUUUACCUCACCUGUACCACGUGUCUCUAUAUUACUGGUUCUUCCUUACUUGACUCUACAUUUCGUUUAACCCUGAUUAUAUAUAAUUAAACAUGCCCAAUCCGAUAAAAUCCAACUAUCUUUUAACCCAACCCCUAAUUCCUUGUCACGAUCCAAAAUCCAACUAGUCGUGAUGGCACCUAACCCAACCCACUAUGUAAGCCAAUUAACAACUAUCCAAUUUAAUGAGAUUUUUUUUGGACAAAUAAAUGAUAAAAUAACUGAACGUUUAUACUUUUUCAAGGACUGAUAGUACAAAUCAUGUGCUUCUAAACACUACAGUGAUUUCAAAACAGAGGUAAAAUGCCCUGCCUCACGCCCCACCUUUUAAAAUAUUGGUGUUUAGCUCAAAAAGUAUACUCGUACUUUAUAAGAUUAACAACAAUAAAAAAUAUAUAAAAGUAAAUCGUAGUCAAAUAUAAUGUGCCCUAGAGAAAAUUAUUAUUUUAAGAUUGUCGUAGAUCUGAAAGUGUGAAGAAAAUGAACUUAGCUUAAGAGAGAAGCAAUGGUUGGAAAACCAAGAAAGAGAUAGAGAUAGAAAUAGAAGUUGCAUUAUCCGAGAAUCAUAAUAAUCCUAUUACAAUGUGAAGGUCUUCUUUAUAUAGUAGGAGACCCUCCUCGAAGUAAUAAAAAAGUACAAAAGUUGGUGAUUUCCACUCAGUAAAAAAGUUGAUUGAAGUUGUAUUAUUUGAGAAUUAUAAUAAUCCUAUUACAAUGUGAAAGUCUCCUUUAUAUAGUAGGAGACCCUCCUCGAAGUAAUAAAAAAGUACAAAAGUUGGUGGCUUCCACUCAGUAAAAAAGUUAGGCACUAAACUACGCCGCUUCUUCUUUACCAACAUGGGUCGUGCCCUUACUUGGGUCGACCUUGUCAUAAGGGACGUGCCCACUCGCGUGGGGACGCUUAAGAGUCAAAUUUUACCCUAUAUAGUUGGUCCCUCCGUUCGUUGGAGACGUGCUCGAUGACCGUCUUCAAUGGACGGACAUCCAUAUUACGCUUUUACGGAAAUUUGGCUGCACCCAUAGGCGCCUCUUUCAAAGAGCAUGGUCAUGUGUAAUAUUGUUGAGCCGUUGACAUACGACCCCUUUUUCUAGAAUUACGUCACCCUUCACGUGCGUAAUAAUUAUACUUGUUCUCGAGACUAUUCAGAGCAUGACGUGGCGUUUUGGUUUCCCACAUUUUUCAGAAUUGUGCCUUUUUUAUUUCCGCGUACUUUAUCCCUAUAAAUAAAGGAGUGGUUCAAUGGGAUUCAGCUUUCGAACCUUUGGAGAGUUUUCCUUUAUUUCUUUAUUCAUCUUUCUUUCUGGUAAUCGUUGCUUUGUUAGAGAACUACCGUUCAUGAGGAUUGUAUCUCUCGUUGUUGACACCUUUCCGUAUAAAUUAUAUCAUGGUGAAGCGUCGUCAAGAUUGCAAAAGGACCAAGGAUAAUGUUCCUUCUAGGGCUCCGCCUUCUUCCGAUGGUGAGGGGGAAGAAGUGGAGAAAACCCUCGUUCCCUUAAUGGUGGAUAGUGUUCUUCCGAAGGACCUGAGCGUUCGAAAAGACUUCAACUGGACAUGCCCCUCUUUUCCCUGGGAGCACAGUGAGUUACUGCAGUCUUACCUAGACGCCCUCCGUAAUACGUACAACAUCCUCGGCCAUGUUGAAAUGGCUCCGGCUAGGACGGACUAUGCCAAUGUGCAUAGGCCCGGGUUCUGUACGUUCUACGAAUACGCGCUUAGGAUCGGAUAUAUCAUUUCGCUUAACCCUCUAGCGGAAGAGCUUUGCCACUUAUAUCACGUGUGCCCGGCUCAACUCACACCUUAUGCCCUGAAGGUGUGUUGAAUUCUCACCACACUUGCGGGCGAGGCCGGGACCGUCGUUUCUAUUCAUCACCUGCUGCAGAUGUUCAGCCCUAGGUACAUGAUAGGUACCAUGCUCCAAUGGAGGAGCCGUGGUAAGAAAAGCUUUGUGGUGAGGUCUGAUGACAAAGCUCACAGUAACUUCUGGCGUAAAUACUUUUAUAUUAGGACGAGUCAUCCGGUAUCCAAUCCCGAAGGGUUUCCGGAGUCGUGGAACGCGGGAUGUAAGUAUCUUUGUAUGUCAUGUCGUGACACCUUGUUUUGACCGAUCAAUCAUUCUGAUUUACUUUCCUUCCUUUCGUAGUGUUGGCUCACUCGCCUUGUCCCGAUGACGACAUUAGGUCGUAGGUGGCAGGGCUGAUACCGCAUGCGGAAAAAUGCCGCACUUGGGCUGAGCUUCGUAAAUUGUACGACCCAACUGGUAACAACCUUUCCUAUUCUUUUCUCUUACGCUCUAUUUUGGCUUGGAGACCCUUUUAUUCAAGGUACUCUCAUUUGGAAGGUCUGGGCUGCGAAGAAGAAGAAUACUGAUGCUGGCGAGUCUAGGGUAGAGUCCGACUACAAUGGGGGAGAUAUAUUUAUGGGAGGCUCGCCUAGAGACAGCGCCCUUUCGACCUCUCAGCAUGGGGCUGCGCCGGUGGCUGCAUCUGAGGCGGUACCUGAGGCUGCUCCAAUAGAGAUAUCUGAGGUCGUAACAAUAACGGUGCCUGAGUCCAUUUCUGUGUCGGUACCUGAAGCCGCUCCAACGGAGGAAGCUUCUGAAGACGAAAAGCCGCCGGAGAAAAAGAGGCGGCGACUGAUUACUGGAAAGGGAAUUGCAACUAAGGGCGCAAGGCCUAGUGAGCCCCGCUGAGAGCCGAGGCUAAUUUUUAUGGCUGAGGCCAUUCGUUCGGGGAGAUUGGCUCCUUGGGGAACAGUCGCUGCCGUCUGCUUGGCCCGUGCCUCAGGAGGCGGGUCGUCUUCUGCAGUUAGGGAAGUGGUCGUGGAAAUUGAGAGGACGGACUCUGAAGCCGCUCUUAGAGAAGUGACGGGGGGCUCGGCCCGCGUGGAGAUAGGGAGGGCAGGUCUACUCGCCGUAUCAUGAUCCCUGGCGGUUAUAAUUUGUUAGAAGACACCGAGCAAGCCACAGCGGACAUGACCUUGUUAUGUGCUGUUGCGGAGCACAAAGCGUUGAAAGUGUUAGUAACAGGGAUUUGUCGAGGCGAAUCGCCGGCGCAGCUUUUCAGGUAGAUUUCAAUUUUUUUAUGAGUCGUAAACGCGACUUUGGUAUGUACUUACAUUUUUCUCUCUUCUUUUCAGACCCUCAUCUUGGAGAUGGAGAGGAGGUGGUGCGAACAAAAGAAGGCGGCCACCUUUAAUAAAGUGGCAAAGAAAUAUAAGGAGUGUUGUGCCAAGCAUCAAGCAUUGGCAGACGUACUCAAGUAGGACCCCCAGUUCCGGACGUUCCGUGAGGGUCUUGAGGAAUCCAAAGCUCUGUUGAAGAAGAGAGAGGCCAUGCUGUAGGAGAUUGAUGAGAAACUGAUGGCUGAUUUGUCUUGAAACAUCGAGCUAGAGACUCUCCUUCGGUCAAAAAAGGAGGAAUUGGAGAUAAGCCGUGGGGUAGCGGCGGAGGCUGCGGAACUACGAACCCAGGUCACGGCCCUCACAGUCAAGCUUGAUGCUAGGACGGUCGAAGUUAAAGUUCUCAGGUGAACUGCUCUAUAAGAUGCUUUACAUCAUGAUGCGCAUGAGAUAUGGGUGUAUCAUGAUGCCAGGUUGGUCGUUUUUGAGGAGUUCUUGGCGGUAGGUCGAGCUUCUGAGGUGGAAGUCAAAAGGCAAUGGCACUUAACCCGUGUUGCCCACGAAGUGGCCGGUUACAGCUCCAACUCGCCCGGUAGGGAGGGCUGUAACUUUGAGAACGUCAAUCGUUUAGACUCUAGUUCAAGGAUUUCUAAGUCUUAUGAGCCUGGAGAUGGCAACGAACCGAACGAUGAUCAGUUGGGUCGUGAUGGGCGGAGCGGUGAAGGCUAUUAAGACUUUUUAUAUAUAUUUUUGUGUUAAUAGGGCCUUUUUUCUAAGGUCAGAUGUAUGUAUACUUGUGAAGAUAAUGGAAUAUGACUUUUUGCUAUUGCUGUUCUUCUUUCGUUCCUUACAGCUUUUAUUGUGCUUCUGAUUGCAACUUUCGCGCUUUCCACCGAUUUUAGUCUAGGUCGGCACGGGUGAUUUCGACUAUCGUCGAACAACUUUUUGUCGUAGCCGAACUGGGCCGACUAUCGGUGUUGGCGGCCUUAGCUGGAUUUAGAUUAAUGACCUUAGUCUUGAUGGAGCUGAUGGCUUUGGCAUUUGGCCAUAUAGGUGACUGAAUGUUCUUCUAUCGUUCCUUAGAGCUUUUAUUGUGCUUCUGAUUGUUGCUUUCAAGCUUUUCACCGUAGUUUAGGCUAGGUCGGCACAGGCGAUUUUGAUUGUCGUUGAACUACUUGUUUGUUGUAGCCAAAAUGGGCAAACUAUCAGUGUCAACGGCCUUAGCCGGAUUUAUAUUAAUGACCUUAGUCUUGAUGGAGUCAUGGCUUUGGCAUUUGGCUAUAUAGGUGACUGACUGUCAUCAUCAUUUUCUCGACGUAGUCGAACUAGGUCGAUCGUUGGAGGAACUGGUCUUAGCCACGAUAAAGUCGAUAACCUUUGGUCAUAGGUUGUUGAUGGCCCCAGCCAUAUGGUUGAUUUCGACUGUCGUCGAAUUAUUUGCCUGUUGUAGUCAAACUAGGUCGACCGUUGGCGAUGAUGGCCUUAGCCAUGAUAAAGUCGAUGACCUCGGGUCGUAGCUCGUUGAUGGACCUGUCCAUAUGGUUGAUUUCUACUGUCGUCGAAUUAUUUGCAUGCCGUAGUCGAACUAGGUCAACCGUUGGCGGCGAUGGCCUUAGCCAUGAUAAAGUCGAUGACCUUGGGUCAUAGCUCGUUGAUGGCCUUGGACAUAUAGUUGAUUUCCACUAUCAUCGAAUUAUUUGCCUGCCGUAGUCGAACUAGAUCGACUGUUGGCGGCGAUGGCCUUAGCCAUGAUAAAGUCGAUGACCUUGGGUCAUAGCUCGUUGACGGCCUUGGCCACAUGGUUGAUUUCGACUGUCGUCGAAUUAUUUGCAUAUCGUAGUCUAACUAGGCCGACCGUUGGUGGCGAUGGCCUUGGCCAUGAUAAAGUCGAUGACCUUGGGUUAUAGCUUAUUGAUGGCCUUGGCCAUAUGGUUGAUUUCGACUGUCGUCGAAUUAUUUGCCUGCCGUAGUCGAAUUAGGUCAACCGCUGGUGGCAAUGGCCUUAGCCAUGAUAAAGUCGAUGACCUUGGGUCAUAGCUCGUUGAUGGCCUUGGACAUAUGGUUGAUUUUGAUUAUCGUCGAAUUAUUUGCAUGUCGUAGUCGAACUAGGUCGACCGUUGGCAGCGAUGGCCUUUCAUACAUUGGAGAUGGCCGUAGCCUUUCAUACAUUGGAGAUGGUCGUAUCCUUUCAUACAACAUUAGAGAUGGUCGUAGUCUUUCAUACAUUGGAGAUGUCCGUAGCCUUUCAUACAUUGGAGAUGGUCGUAGCCUUUCAUACAUUGGAGAUCAAGCUAGUCCAGUCCCUUUGUCAUGUCCGCCUGGAGGUCGUAUGGAGAGGAUGAUAUGGUAAACUUGUGCUGCAAAUAUCUCCAAGUGUCUCCUUUGUCGCCUCAUUAAAAACCUCCCAGAGAAAACCCAAUUGGGACAAAACUCGGGCAAGGGAAAAAAGAGUACGAUUUAUGAGACGCCUUUCAGAAGUGGAAAUACUUGAGGUGGGCAACAUUGUAGUUGUCUUGGAGCGUUUUCCUUCCAUUGUUUCCAACUGGAAUGCCCUUUUGCUGGCUACUGCUGUGAUUUUGUAGGGUCAUUCCCAGUUGGUGCCCAAUUUUCCUUGACUUGGGUCUUUAGAUGCUAAUGUCUUGGCUUUGAGGAUAUAGUCUCCCACUUUGAGUGGUUUAUCUUGGACCUCUUGUUGUAGUAUCUUUCGACUUGUUGUUUUUGGGACACCAUUUUGAUGUGGGCCAUUUCUCUCCAUUCCUCAGCUUCGUCGAGGUCUUGGAGCCUGUUUGUGUCAUUUAUUGUUCCACUGGAGUGUGCAUAUCUUAGGCUUGGUUCACCGGCCUCGACGGGUAUGACCGCGUUGGUUCCAUAGACUAGCGAGUAUGGUGUUUCCCCCGUGCUGGAUUUGGGUGUGGUACUGUGCUCCCAUAACACUUCGGGUAGCAGCUCGGGCCAUAGCCCUUAGACAUCCUCGAGCUUCUUCUUUAGUAUGUUUAAUAUUGCUUUGUUAGAGGAUUCUGCUUGGUCGUUAGCGUCAGGGUGAUAUGGCGUGGAAAGUAUCCUCUUGAUGCACCAUUUCUCGAAGAAUUCGGUCAUUUUAGGACCGAUGAACUGUUGUUCAUUGUCACAACUAAUUUCUUUGGGGAUGUCGAAGCGGCAUUAAUAUUUCUUCAUAUGAAGGCGAUCACCUCAUGUUCACGUAUUUGUGCGUAUGCACCUCCUUCUACCCACUUAGAUAAAUAGUUAGUUAAAACUAAUAAAAAUUGUACCUUUCCCCGUCUUGCAGGUAGGGGACCCACUAUAUCCAUUCCACAUUUGAUGAAAGGCCAUAGGGAGGUGCCUGAAUGGAGGGGCUCUCCUGGUUGGUGGAUCAUGGGGGCGUAUUUUUGGCAUUGUUCGCAUCGACGAACGUAUUCUGCUACCUCCUUCUUCAUGGUGGGCCAGUAGUAGCCGACCCGUAUGAUGCAUCGCACGAGGGCGCGGUUACCUGUAUGGGCGCCGCAGUGGCUCUCAUGCUUCUUAGAGUACCGGCCUCGUUUGGUGCGACCCCAGGCACUUGGCUAAUGGUCCGCCAAACAUUCUUUUGUAGAGUUCAUUGUUUAUUAAGCAAUACCGAGCAGCUUGCGUACAGGGUUUCUUUGCCUCUUUUGUGUUGAGUGGUAACGUUCCGUCAUGCGAAUAUGAUACAAAUUGGUUGCGCCAGUCCCAAGUUAAAUUUAAAGAGAAUACCUCAGUGUGAUCAAUGGAGGAGUGGAGGAGGGUAACCACGCUUUCUUUGUUGAAGUUUUUAGUGGCCGUAGCCAGCUUCGCUAGACCGUCUGCUUCGAUAUUUUGUGCCCUUAGUAUUUUUUGAAGCGACAUUCGUUGAACUCAGCCAUUAACCUGUGGAUUUCCGACUGGUAUUCUUGCAAUCUUUGUUCUUUGAUCUGGUAAGUCCUAGAGACUUGGUUGACUACGAGUUGGGAAUCGCAAUGAAGGAUGAGUUAGCAAGCCCCAUAUCUGAUGGCCAGUUUCAUGCUUGCAAUAACGGCCUCAUACUCGGCCUCGUUGUUAGUCAUUUCAGGGCAUCGUAUGGACUGGCGAAUCGUUUUGCUUGUGGGGACCUCGAGGACGAGUCCCAGUCCUGACCCUGAUGCAUUGGCGGUGCCAUCAGUGUAGAGGACCCAUAGGUCGUUAUUCUUGGAGGCAUGUUGUGCCUCAAAUUCUACUGUUGGCAGGAUUUCUGCGCUAAAGUCGACUAUAAAAUCGGCCAAAAAUUUGAGACUUUUUGGCGGUUCUUGGAAGAUACGAGAUGUCGUGCUCGCUGAGCUCAAUGGCCCAUCUUGCGAGUCGGUCCGAUAAUUCAGGAUUAUGUAAGACACUCCUUAAUGGGAAGGUCGUUACCACUUUUAUGGGGUGGCACUGAAAAUCGGGUUGUAGCAUACGUGAAGCUACUACUAGUGCCAGUGCCAAUCUCUCGAGGUGAGGAUACCAAGAUUCGGGGUCCACUAAGGUUUUGCUGAUGUAAUAGAUAGGGAUUAUAUACCUUUGCUUUCGCGAACUAGGACGGCGCAGACAGUGACCUCAGACAUGGCCAGAUACACCAGCAGGGGGUUCACUUGGUCUUACUUUGACCAGCAAGGGCGGCGAAGACAAGUACGUUUUCAACUUUCUCAAGGCUUCGAUGUAUUCCUCGUUCCACUGUAGCCCUUGAUCUUUUUUAGCAUGUUGAAAAAUUUAUGCCACCUAUUGAAUGACCGUGAGAUGAAUCUGGAUAGGGCGGGUAUACGCCCCGUCAGCGUCUGCACCUGUUUCUUGCUACUCAGCACCUCAGGUAUUGCAUCUACCACCUUGAUCUGGUCCGGGUUGACCUCGAUGCCUCGUUGUGAUACGAGAAACCCUAAAAAGUUCCCUGAGGCCACACCGAAAGCGCAUUUCUCGGGGUUUAACUUCAUCCCGUACCUCCUCAGUAUCUCAAAGGCCUCUUUUAGGUGGCCGAUAUGGUCUUCUUUCUUUGUCGAUUUUACCAGCAUAUUGUCGAUAUAGACUUUCAUGGUCUUAUCGAGUUGCUCUAUUAACAUUCUUGUGACCAGCCUUUGGUAUGUGGCUCCUGUAUUUUUGAGCCCGAAGGGCAUUACCUUGUAGCAAUAUGUCCCCGUCGGGUGAUGAAAGUUGUUUUUUCCUGAUCCUCCUCAGCCAUCAUGAUUUGGUUGUAGCCAGAGUCUGCGUCUAGGAAACUUAGCAGCUCAUGCCCUGCGGUCGCAUCUAUCAGCUCGUCAAUGUGGGGCAGUGUGAAAGAAUCUUUUGAGCAUGUCUUGUUCAAGUCGGUGAAGUCUACACACAUUCUCCACUUCCCAUUUUUCUUUUGACCAUGACAACAUUGGCGACCCAUUGAGGGUACUUUGAUUCCCUGAUGGAGCCGUUGGCCAGAAGUUUGUCCACUUCCUCGAUGACCGCUUCAUCGACAGCGGCAUUGAAUUUUCUUCUUGUUUUCCACACGGGCGGGUGUAAUGGGUCGACGUUGAGCUUGUGAGUGGCAAUUUCUCGUGGGAUCCCUGGCAUAUCUGAAUGGGAAAAAGUACACAUGUCUGCAUGGUUAGAUAAAAAUUCCUGAUACUUACUUGGAUUUGAGAGGUCGUGCCCGAUGUAAGCUUUCCUUGUAGGGUCGUCGUUGUCCAGUUGGAAUUGGUCGAGGUCUUUGACCGUAGCCAUGCAGGCUUCUAUGACAUCCGGGUUUUUAAUGGCCUUGUCUGUCGGGUAGACCUUAGUCCCCGACAUAGCUGAUUGCUAUGCAUCUGCGCUCGCCCCUUUAAGCUGUUUGGCGUGGGCGCAGUCUUGAGCUAUGUUAUAGCAUUCCUGAGCGGUUUGAGGCUCGCCUUGAAUGUUGAAUACUCCCCACAGGUCAGAAACUUGAUCAUUUGAUAGAAGCUCGAUGGGACUGCUCUCAUGGCGUGUAUCCACGGGCGUCCGAUAAUGGCGUUGUAUGCCGUUUCCUGGUUCAUCACGUGGAAAGUUGUUUCUAGCGUGACCCCUCCUGCUAGGACGGGUAGUGAUAUCUCCCUGGAGGUUCGUUCUAUUGAAUUAUUGAAACAAGUUAGUGUUAUGCAGUGUGGUAUUAUCUUAUCCACGACUCCCAUUAGUACGAAGACCCUCGGGUGGAUAAUACAGGCGUCGUUAUCGUCAUCAACAAUAUUCCUUUUAACAUCCCUAUCUGUGAUACGUAAAAUGAUAACUAAAGCAUCGUAAUGAGGGAAAGACAAAUUGUCUGCAUCGAACUUAUCGAAUGUGAUACUAUAUUCGAAGUCGUCAUAUCGUUCGUGGGCGAUAGUUCGCUUCAGUUUGUGCGUAGUGGUGGACUUGACGUGAUUGAUCACUGAGUCAUCGUCAUCUCUAAUGAUCAUGUUGAUCGUGUGUGUUGGUGAAGGCGGCUUUGGUGGCCCGUGGGGUUUCUCCCGUCCACGUUCAAAGUUGAUUUUUCCUUUGUCACUGAGCAGCCCUCUCAGGAACCCUUGGUUCAACAUCCUGACCACCUUUUGCCGUAGGCCUAUUCAAUCCUCGGUUUUGUACCCUUGCUCCUGGUGGAACUUGCACAGGGCGUUUGAUUUUCUAGUGACGGGGCCGGACUUCAUCUUUGCCGACCAUUGAACCUUGUUACCCAGCUUCUCAAGUGAGUACACUCUCUCUCAAGGGGACACACAAAAGUUAUGGCCAAAUAAUAAAGGGGGCACACCUUUGUUGUUUUGUAGUGGGGGGACAUGUCACUGUAGUGGGUUUGCGUGUCUGGGUGGCGGUGGGUGAGACGAUCUGAUGUAAGCUUGGUGUCUCUCCCUAUAGGGACGCGGGACUUGUUCCCGUCGUCCUUCGUUGCGUCGGUCCCUCCUGAUUCUGGGUGUAUUAUUGUUAAAAAUUGAGUCGGUCCGUUGAAGUCGUCCUCAUCUGCACGUACCUCAGCACAAUAGGCAUUGUGAAUCUCUUCCCACAUGGUGGGUGGGUGCUUUAUGAAACGACUUACUAGUUUUUUGGUUGCCCUCGAGCCGUCCCUGCUUAACCCGUUCUGAAAUGCAGUGACCGCCACGCCUUCCGACACGUUUGGUAGGCUCAUCCUUACUCUGUUAAACCUGGCUAGGAAGUCCCUGAGUCCUUCUCUUAUGGUUUGUCGAACGGCGAAGGUGUCAUUGACUCUCGUAUCUGCUUUCUUUGCUCCUGCAUGGGCAGUGACAAACUUGUUUGCUAUCUCCUCGAACGUAGAAAUAACUUUGGCUGGUAGCUGGGAAUACCAGGUUAGUGCUCCUCCUGUCAUUGUUUCGCCGAACUUCUUCAGCAGCACAGAUGGUACCCGUUCUUUUGAUAGGUCGUUACCUUUUAUAGUCAUGACGUAGUGGAUCAGAUGAUCCUCGGGAUCUAUAGUUCCGUCGUACACUCUUAAAUAAGGAGGAAUUUUGAAGGUUUUUGGGAUGGAGUAUGGUGCAACCUCUUUCGUGUAGGGUUGUUCAACAAACCUCCCCACAUCAUGCUUUGGCAGCAGUUUGGGAGCACCAGGGAUCUUGUCCACCCUCUCAUGGGGUUCUUUCAUCUGGUCAUGAAGUGACUUGUUUUCGUUUUCUAUUUUCUCCAUCUUCUUGAGGAUGGUUGUGAGCGUGCCAGCGUUGGACCGAGUAUCGAUGAGUGCAUUGUUUGCUCGCACGAUUUAGGGUUCACCUUCAACUGCAGCAAGGUAUAUUGUUGGCAUGCAUCUGACGUUGUUUUGGGGUGGCUUAUAACCAACAUAGAGUACUCGUUAACCACUCAUCUAGUAGUUUCCUGACAUUUGGAGGUGCUUCUUCAGUAGCAGAUGUAGAAGCGCCCUUUUCCUGUAAGAUCAUCAGAUCUUCGGGUGGUGGAGGUGGGAUUUCUCCGCUUGUGGUGGUGCUAGGGGUUGCAAUCGAAACACCCUCUUCACUUGCGUCGUUGAGAGGACCGAUGAGGUUGGUUACAACAUCUGCUAUCGCUUUCAUUCUUGUGUUAUCGUCAGCUAUUUUUCAUUUGUGUGUUGUAGAGAAGGGUUUUCGAUGGUUCUCUAAGUGCAAACUAUGGUUUUGAUUCUCGAAAUCCCCACAGACGGCGCCAAAUUGUUUAGCUCAAAAAUUAUACUCGUACUUUAUAAGCUUAAAAAUAACCAAAAAUAUAUAUGGGUAAAUCGUAAUCAAAUAUAAUGUGCCUUAGAGAUAAUUAUUAUUUUAAGAUUGUCGUAGAUCUGAAAGUGUGAAGAAAAUGAACUUAGCUUAAGAGAGAAGCAAUGGUUGGAAAACCAAGAAAGAGAUAGAGAUAGAGAUUGAAGUUGUAUUAUUUGAGAAUUAUAAUAAUCCUAUUACAAUGUGAAAGUCUCCUUUAUAUAGUAGGAGACCCUCCUCGAAGUAAUAAAAAAGUACAAAAAAUAGA